CCUACGGGAGGCAGCAGUGAGGAAUUUUCCGCAAUGGGCGAAAGCCUGACGGAGCAAUACCGCGUGAGGGAUGAAGGAUUUUGGUCUGUAAACCUCUUUUCUCAAGAAAGAAGUUCUGACGGUACUUGAGGAAUAAGCAUCGGCUAGCUCCGUGCCAGCAGCCGCGGUAAUACGGGGGAUGCAAGCGUUAUCCGGAAUGAUUGGGCGUAAAGCGCCUGUAGGUUGUUUAUUAAGUCCGUUGUUAAAGCCUAGGGCUUAACCCUAGAAAAGCAAUGGAAACUAGUAGACUAGAGUAUGGCAGGGGUAGAGGGAAUUUCUAGUGUAGCGGUGAAAUGCGUAGAUAUUAGAAAGAACACCGGUGGCGAAAGCGCUCUACUGGACCAUUACUGACACUCAGAGGCGAAAGCUAGGGUAGCAAAAGGGAUUAGAUACCCCUGUAGUCCUAGCCGUAAACGAUGGAUACUAGAUGUUGUGCAUUAUGUACAGUAUCGUAGCUAACGCGUUAAGUAUCCCGCCUGGGGAGUACGCUCGCAAGGGUGAAACUCAAAUGAAUUGACGG
rnacentral:rRNA from 1 species